AAAGACUUGACGGUACUUCACAACACCCUAGAGGAGCCUGUCUAAUAACCGAUACUCCACGAUUUACCCCCCCCACUCUAGCCCAACAGCCUAUAUACCGCCGUCGCCAGCUUACCUUGUGAAAGAAAUAAAGUGAGCAAAAUAAACUACCUUUAAUACGACAGGUCGAGGUGUAGCUUAUGGGUGGGAUAAAGAUGGGCUACAUUUUCUAACACAGAAAACACGGAUUAAACUAUGAAAUCGAAACUGAAGGCGGAUUUAGUAGUAAGAUAAUAACAGAAUGCUUAACUGAAACAUGCAAUGAAGUGCGUACACACCGCCCGUCAUCCCUG
rnacentral:rRNA from 1 species